rnacentral:rRNA from 1 species
UACGUAGGGUGCAAGCGUUAAUCGGAAUUACUGGGCGUAAAGCGUGCGCAGGCGGUUUUGUAAGUCUGACGUGAAAUCCCCGGGCUCAACCUGGGAAUUGCGUUGGAGACUGCAAGGCUAGAAUCUGGCAGAGGGGGGUAGAAUUCCACGUGUAGCAGUGAAAUGCGUAGAGAUGUGGAGGAACACCGAUGGCGAAGGCAGCCCCCUGGGUCAAGACUGACGCUCAUGCACGAAAGCGUGGGGAGCAAACAGG